AGAGCGAACGCUGGCGGCAGGCCUAACACAUGCAAGUCGAGCGGCCGUAGCAAUACGGCAGCGGCAGACGGGAGAGUAACACGUGGGAACGCGCCCUUCGGUUCGGAAUAACUCAGGGAAACUUGGGCUAAUACCGGAUACGCCCUUACGGGGAAAGAUUUAUUGCCGAAGGAACGGCCCGCGUCCGAUUAGCUUGUUGGUGAGGUAACGGCUCACCAAGGCGACGAUCGGUAGCUGGUCUGAGAGGAUGACCAGCCUCACUGGGACUGAGACACGGCCCAGACUCCUACGGGAGGCAGCAGUGGGGAAUAUUGGACAAUGGGCGCAAGCCUGAUCCAGCCAUGCCGCGUGGGUGAUGAAGGCCCUAGGGUUGUAAAGCCCUUUCGGCGGGGAAGAUAAUGACGGUACCCGCAGAAGAAGCCCCGGCUAACUUCGUGCCAGCAGCCGC
rnacentral:rRNA from 1 species